rnacentral:pre_miRNA from 1 species
GAUGAGAUAAAAAGUGGAACCUCUGGCCACUUAAAUGUAUCUUAGGAAAUAAAAACCUAAAGAAUCCUACCUCAGGCGGGUUUUUCGUAAAAUACUUUUAAGUGAUUAGAGGUUCCAGUUUUCAUCUA